CAUGCAAGUCGAGCGGCAGCGCGUCUAGUUUACUAGAUGGCGGCGAGCGGCGGACGGCUGAGUAACGCGUGGGAACGUGCCCCAAAGUGAGGAAUAACUGCCCGAAAGGGUAGCUAAUGCCGCAUAUGAUCUUCGGAUUAAAGUCUUCGGACGCUUUGGGAGCGGCCCGCGUCGGAUUAGGUUGUUGGUAGGGUAAUGGCCUACCAAGCCAACGAUCCGUAGCUGGUCUGAGAGGAUGAUCAGCCAGACUGGAACUGAGACACGGCCCAGACUCCUACGGGAGGCAGCAGUGGGGAAUUUUGGACAAUGGACGCAAGUCUGAUCCAGCCAUGCCGCGUGCGGGAAGAAGGCCUUCGGGUUGUAAACCGCUUUUGUCAGGGAAGAAAAGGUUCCGGCUAAUACCUGGGACUCAUGACGGUACCUGAAGAAUAAGCACCGGCUAACUACGUGCCAGCAGCCGCGGUAAUACGUAGGGUGCAAGCGUUAAUCGGAAUUACUGGGCGUAAAGCGUGCGCAGGCGGUUAUGCAAGACAGAGGUGAAAUCCCCGGGCUCAACCUGGGAACUGCCUUUGUGACUGCAUAGCUAGAGUACGGUAGAGGGGGAUGGAAUUCCGCGUGUAGCAGUGAAAUGCGUAGAUAUGCGGAGGAACACCGAUGGCGAAGGCAAUCCCCUGGACCUGUACUGACGCUCAUGCACGAA
rnacentral:rRNA from 1 species